rnacentral:rRNA from 1 species
UACAGAGGGGGCAAGCGUUGUUCGGAAUUACUGGGCGUAAAGGGCGCGUAGGUGGCCUUCUAAGUUGAACGUGAAAUCCCUGGGCUCAACCCAGGAACUGCGUCCAAGACUGGGAGGCUUGAAUCCGGGAGAGGGAUGCGGAAUUCCAGGUGUAGCGUGAAAUGCGUAGAGAUGUGGAGGAAUACCGAUGGCGAAGGCAGCCCCCUGGGACGAGACUUGACGCUCAUGCACGAAAGCGUGGGGAGCAAACAGGAUUAGAAC